AAGAUAUUUGGUGAAGCAAUAUUCAGUCUCUCUAUCGACCCUGCCUGGCCCCAAAUGCAGGCAGACACCAGAGCAGUCUUGCUUACAUUUAAUGCAGAAACAUUUGCAGGUUUUCUCAAGAGUUGAGAGGGAUCUUCAAAUAUAUAGAAGAAAAAACAGCCUUCUGGAGAGCUUGAAACGCUGGGCUCUGAACCUGUGGUUCUUGCUGAAAUCACAUAACACCUUGAAGAUGACUAAACUGAGACUCUUGUGCUUUGGAUGUAUCUUGCAAAAAUAUUACUUGCUUGAAAAGAAAAUAAGAUUCGCCUUUCCCCCCAAACAGGUGGACACACUAGGGAGCAGAUGGCUUCAAAUUCAACCAAUGACAGUUGAUUAAAAUUCCCACCAGGCCACUCUGCCAAUCAGCAACUGAGAUUCAAGAAACUUUGCAUUUUCAACUAAUCAGUAGCCAGGAACAGGAAAUCCCUGCAUCCAAUGGGACCACAGAUUCUUAAACUGCACCAAUUUACCAAUGUUUCCUACUUUUCUUUAAUGUCUGUAAAAAUUCUAAUUUUUAAAAAUUCACACUUGUGACUUGUAAGAAUGUCAGAUUUGAGAUUUUUUACUUCGUCCCCUCUUAUCCACUUUGGGCAUUGCUGAAUAAAGGUUUGUAGAUUAUGGCAUUUCCACCAUGUUGGAGUGUGUAACAAUACGUAAUUACACUGGCUAACACGCAUUUUGGUGCUUCAGAUGUUGGCCCUGUUUCUGUGUAUAUUUGACCUGCUGAUUCCAAAAAUAGCACUAGUUUCCCCCUCUCAGAUCUAGUUUUUGAGUUACAGGACAUAUGCCAUCUACCAUUUGCCAUCCACUCGCCCAUAGAAAAUCAUAAUAAUAUCUAAGAAACUAUACAAUGUAAUUUCUGAAACAGAGCCUCAAAUAAUCUCAGGAACAAGCCUAAAAAUCAAAAUAACAAGCAUUUUUUGUUGGGCUGUAUUAUUACCAACCAUUUUUGUGGUGAUACAGAUGGACCAUAUUCUGUCUUUAUUAGCAGAAAUUGGGUUACUUUCACCCCACCCGGCAAUAGCUCCUCUUCCUCUAUAGAUCAAUGUGUUGUUUUGAAAAGUGCUGUCAGAAUAGUGGUUUUGAGAAUGGAGCAUAUUGAUACUGAUGAUGAAAGGAAGAGCAAUUGCUAUUUUUAAAAGAGGAGUUAAAAGUUGGGAUAACAACUCAUUUCAUUCUGACUCAACUUUCAGUUUUUCUGUGGUUGGAUUUUGUUAGAUUUGUCAUUUUCUGUUGUAUGUUGGAAAGCUUUUCUAGUGUUAGGUUACAUGGAAUGUGGUUGUAUUUUUGUUCUAGUAGUGGGAUAAGAUUUGCAUUUGAAAAUUAAAAAUAGAAUUUACCCUAGGUGUUGAUAACAUUUGUCAUAGUACACAAAGAGUAGGAAUCUGUGUCAUCUAACUACAAAAUCUUGUCUCCUUACAUUGCAAUCCAUUGUCCUUUCAGAGUAGCAGAGGUAUCUGUGUGCCAGCAUUAUGCAACUUUCAUGCAGAAUAGCAACAUCAUGCAACACAUGUUAAUAACUGAGCGCCAUUGUGCAAUGCACAGUGUGACGACUGGAACAUACUACUGUAGUGCACUAUGUAAAGUGCAAUGGGUAACAUAUGACUACAAUAUGCAAUUGCUUUGCACAACCACAAUGCACAAUGCAAAAUUGUAAUGUACAAUGUAAAUAAUUAUUUUAUGUGCAGCUGCACUCCUACUACUCUCCAGCAUUUGUCUGUUGUGCUAUGAUAAAUAAUUUACUUCUCAUGUAUAGUGCAAGUUAUGCAUGGAUAUACCAUGAACUGAAUGUCAGCCUUGGAAUGAAGGUAGAACUGAGGAAAUGACAGGCUUAGUUUGAAAUAGCCAAGAUAAUAUUGUUCAGUGGUUAAAAUGACUAUGAAAGCCAAAGGAAGAGCCAAAGUAAGUGCACAAAGUAAAGGAGUCAGCCAUCAGCCACGAAUGGAGGGGAGUAGCUUUUAUCAGUUGGUUGCCAUGGAAAGCAGCCAUGGCUUUCCAUUGAAUCUCUUUCCUACAUCUUGAUAUGCUGGGAUUAUUUUCCCA
ensembl:lncRNA